rnacentral:lncRNA from 1 species
GGGGGGAAGCAAAGAUAGGCUAGUGGUCAUACCUAGCAAUUGUAAGUGCUGACACACCCCAACCAGCCUGUUCAGGCCAUAUUGUUUGGGAGUUAGGGUCCCCAUAAGGAUCAAGUCCAAAAAUGAGCAACACCUUGGAUGUUGCUAUGUUUUGAACUUCAACUCAAACACAUAGAAGGGGACAUGGGUGCAGGGAUUCACAAUAGAAACCUUUGCAAAGAAAUUGACAUGCUAAUUAACAUUAAACAUAGCCAGUAAAGCAGACAGGGGUGUAGAAGCUGAAACACACUAGGAUGAGGCUGAAAACAAAACUAGAACAUACAUGUUUCAGGAAAAAAA